rnacentral:tRNA from 1 species
ACUUAAGUAGUUUAAAAUAGAAUAUUGAUUUGUGGUAUCAGUGAUGCAGUAAAGGCCUUAGGUU